CUUGCUGCCACCAUGAUUCUGAGGCCUCCUCAGCCAUGUGGAACUGAUCUUCAUGAUGAAUGUACAUCUUUCUGGGCUAAUAUUCCAUUAUUGUAUACAUUCAAAUAACAUCUUGAGGAACUAAUGUUUGUCUUACACACUCUGAGAAAUGCUGUUUCAGCUAAAACUCCUCUACGUGUAUCUAAGCAACCUGUUAACAUUUUACAUCUGUAGUGGGCUGAAUAGUGGCCCCCAAAAGAUAUGUCCACGUCAUAACCCCUAGUACUUGUGAAUAUGACCUUAAUUCAAAAUAGGGUUUUACAGAUGUAAUGAGAUUAACAAAUUCAAGAUGAGAUCACUCUGGCUUCAGGAUGGGCCCUAAAUUCAAUGACUGUUCAUCUACUAGAUGAGAAAGGAGGAGACACAGAGACAUACAGAAAGAAGACCAUGUGAAGAAGGAGGCAAAUAGAGUUAUGCUACCAGAAGCCAAGGAACACCAGGGGUCACCAGAAGCUGGAAGAGGUGGAAAGAGAUUCUCUCUGAGAGCAUUUGGAGGAGACAUGGCCCUACUGACACUCUGAUUUUGGACUUCUGGUCUUCAGAACUGUGAAAGAAUACAUUUGUCUUGUUUUAAACUCCCUGGUGUCUGGCAACAUUGUCAGCUCUAGGAAACGAAAUACAACACGGUCUCUAAUUGUGGAGUAUGCUGACUCAGACUUUGGCCUUUCAUUACUGUAUAAAGACUAGGCAUCUGUGAGCAGAGGGCAGAUUUUUGAGGUCAGAGCCUGAU